rnacentral:rRNA from 1 species
AGCGAACGCUGGCGGCAGGCUUAACACAUGCAAGUCGAACGCCCCGCAAGGGUAGUGGCAGACGGGUGAGUAACACGUGGGAACGUACCCUUUGGUUCGGAAUAACUUGGGGAAACUCAAGCUAAUACCGGAUAAGCCCUUAUGGGGAAAGGUUUACUGCCGAAGGAUCGGCCCGCGUCUGAUUGGCUAGUUGGUGAGGUAACGGCUAACCAAGGCGACGAUCAGUAUCUGGUCUGAGAGGAUGAUCCGCCACACUGGUACUGAGACCCGGCCGAGACUCCUACGGGAGGGAGCAGUGGGGAAUAGUGGACAAUGGGGGCAACCCUGAUCGAGCCAUGCCGCGUGAGUGAUGAAGGCCUUAGGGUUGUAAAGCUCUUUUACCCGGGACGAUAAUGACUGUACCGGGAGAAUAAGCCCCGGCUAACUUCGUGCCAGCCGCCGCCGUAA